UGAUGUUAUGGGACGUGCCUAGGGUCACUGAUCAACUCGAAGUCCAAUAUUGAAUGUGGCUUUUGUAUUCGGCCCACAGCGGGUGAUAGGCCCGUGCGAGUUGAUUGUCAGUCCUGUCUAGUGGCCUCUAGAUGCACGUCCUAUGGAGUCGGAUUGCUUGAGAAUGCAGUCCAAAGUUGGUGGUAAACUCCAUCAAAGGCUAAAUACCUGCACGAGUCCGAUAGCAAACAAGUACCGUGAGGGAAAGUUGAAAAGUACUCUGAAGAGAGAGUAAAUAGUACGUGAAACCACAUACAGGUAAACGGGUGUAGUCCAGCUGCGUGUCCCGUGGACUUAGCUGGUAUGUGUAUACGGAUGUUGAAAACUGCCGUAUAGCCUUCGCGCCAAUUGCGAGUUAGGCUUAUACCUAACCCAUGGCCGUUGUGUAGGCGGUAUGGGUGGCUAUCGGUGUCUGUUUGCAUACCAGUGUCCUUCCUCGGGACUGACAUCACAGUCAAUAUUACUGCUAGUGUGUGAUGACCAAACCGUGGAGCGGUGGGCCUCCGUGCUCACUCUCUACGUGGAUGGCAGGUGGCUUGGCAGUUCGCCUUGGUGUGGACAGUCGAGCUUAACCAUGGCUCCGGCCAGCCGGUUAUCAUGCUGCAUCUGCUUGCAUUUAACUGCGCAGUGUAUUGGUAAUGAGUAUCGUGGCCUAGCUGUGUUGAUUCCACACGGGUUCGCAUUGAGUUAUGUGUAAAAGCGUGCUCGACGCGUGACUAGUGUGUGAUUGAUACAGUGCGGUAACGUCAUUGCAUAAACUGUGGUGUUGUGGUAGACGUUCCACCUGACCCGUCUUGAAACACGGACCAAGGAGUUUAACUUGUAUGCAAGUCAUUGGGCUUUUCCGAAACCCACAGGCGUAAUGAAAGUGAAUGAGAGCUUUGGUUCUCUGAAGUGUGAUCCCGCACUGCACAACAUCUAGUGCAUGUGGGCGCAACACUGGCCCGUCCCGUAAUGUAGUUGCGCGUGGUGCUUUGUCUACCUGUGCACAACAUUGGGGCGGAGCAAGAGCAUACAGGUUGAGACCCGAAAGAUGGUGAACUAUGCUUGCGUAGGUCGAAGCCAGAGGAAACUCUGGUGGAGGACCGUAGCGAUUUUGACGUGCAAAUCGAUCGUCAAACGUGAGUAUAGGGGCGAAAGACUAAUCGAACCAUCUAGUAGCUGGUUCCCUCCGAAGUUUCCCUCAGGAUAGCUGACAUUCAUUUCGCUAAACAGUUUUAUCCGGUAAAGCGAAUGAUUAGAGGUAUUG
rnacentral:rRNA from 1 species